AGAUUGUUAAGACCAAAUUACCCU
rnacentral:snRNA from 1 species